GCAGACACAUUCCAGCCAAUCAGCAGCAGACCCUCCCUCCCAGACCCUCCCAUCUCCUGGACAGCAUCCAUUGUGAAGCUGCAUUCUUAGUGAGCUGUCCAGGAGGUGGGAGGGUCUGGGAGGGAGGGUCUGCUGCUGAUUGGCUGGAAUGUGUCUG